GAGGGGCCCGCGGCCUAUCAGCUAGUUGGUGAGGUAACGGCUCACCAAGGCGACGACGGGUAGCUGGUCUGAGAGGACGACCAGCCACACGGGGACUGAGACACGGCCCCGACUCCUACGGGAGGCAGCAGUGGGGAAUUUUCCGCAAUGGGCGAAAGCCUGACGGAGUGACGCCGCGUGGGGGACGAAGGCCUUCGGGUCGUAAACCCCUGUCAGAGGGAAAGAAGGGUGUCGGCGUGAACAACGCCGGCAUCUGACGGUACCUUCAGAGGAAGCCCCGGCCAACUCUGUGCCAGCAGCCGCGGUAAGACAGAGGGGGCAAGCGUUGCUCGGAAUUACUGGGCGUAAAGGGCGCGUAGGCGGGAUGGCAAGUCGGUCGUGAAAUCCUUCGGCUCAACCGAAGAACGUCGGCCGAUACUGCCGUUCUUGAGGGAUGCAGAGGAGACUGGAAUUCCCGGUGUAGCGGUGAAAUGUGUAGAGAUCGGGAGG
rnacentral:rRNA from 1 species